AGUGAACGCUGGCGGUAGGCCUAACACAUGCAAGUCGAACGGCAGCACAGUAAGAGCUUGCUCUUACGGGUGGCGAGUGGCGGACGGGUGAGGAAUACAUCGGAAUCUACUUUUUCGUGGGGGAUAACGUAGGGAAACUUACGCUAAUACCGCAUGCGACCUACGGGUGAAAGCAGGGGAUCUUCGGACCUUGCGCGAUUGAAUGAGCCGAUGUCGGAUUAGCUAGUUGGCGGGGUAAAGGCCCACCAAGGCGACGAUCCGUAGCUGGUCUGAGAGGAUGAUCAGCCACACUGGAACUGAGACACGGUCCAGACUCCUACGGGAGGCAGCAGUGGGGAUUAUUGGACAAUGGGCGCAAGCCUGAUCCAGCCAUACCGCGUGGGUGGAGAAGGCCUUCGGGUUGUAAAGCCCUUUUGUUGGGAAAGAAAAGCAGCAGGUUAAUACCCCGCUGUUCUGACGGUACCCAAAGAAUAAGCACCGGCUAACUUCGUG
rnacentral:rRNA from 1 species